UAUGUUAAGAUAUAGACAGUCAAUAACCAAUAAUUGAACAAUUAUUUAUUAAUUGAAUAAAUGCAUCAUGGGUCUGUCUCUUGUAUGCAGGUGGUAUUUACCCACAUGUUUGAUUUGAUUUUAUAGGAACUAUGGCAAAUGCACAAGUGCCAGUCGUCGGCUCGAUGAGAAACGUUCCAGUUCAGGUCGCCUGUCCUAAGUGCCAACAGACAGUUCUCUCCCAUGUGGACUACUCCUCUGGUUGCAACGCUUACAUUUUAUGUGGAGUACUCUUCUCUUUGGGCUGUGUUUUCGGUUGCUGUCUCUUCCCGUUCUGUAUGGACCAGCUGAAAGAUGCAAAGCACACCUGUCCUACCUGCAAGACUGUACUCGGCGUGUAUAAGUGAAUAUACAAAUAUGAAAUGCAUGAAUUUGAAACUGAUGGAUAUGACAUUGAAACUAUUAUGAUGGAAUAAUUGUUUUAGUCUUCUUUUCUUUUAACGCAAAAAGUCAAACAUUUGCUGGUUUCGUGCUUCAAAAAUGUGUGAAUUGAAUGUUUUUCUUUGUCAUACAAUACAUGAUAGGCUAUAGGCUACAUGAAUUUAAAGAUGUCACCUUGGGUUCUGGGCCACAGGCCAUUUUUUACAUUUUAUAGUCAAAAUUAUGAUUAAUUGAGAAUAAAAUGGGAAAAAUAAUUGAUAAUGUUUGUUUGUUGUUGUUGCAGCCCUAACUGACAUUGUGUCCGUAUUAGGGUUAAACUUCCAAAACAUCCAUCAGUACAUCAGACUAGAGCAGUCUCCUCUUGAAUGAACCACUGUCCAAUUCCUGAAAUGUAAUUAUACUGAGUCUGACAGAAAUAAAGGUUGCCACUAACAGUUACAUGUCUUGUAAUCUGCUGUUUUACAAAGUUAAACUGGAGAAACAGAUGGUGUUCACUUGCUUAUAGCUCAGACUUACUUAUAUAUUCAUGAUGAUAUUGCAACUACAUUUGUUGUUGGUGUUGGUUUUACUGCACAGAUGAAAUCAUGUAACUCUAUGUGACAAUUUAUAAUAAACUGUG